CCAGCACUCCCAGGACACCACUGAUCCCGUUGCACCACAGCGGGAACUCUUCUUACGACUAUUCUAAGCACAUCUGUGCCGAACACAGAAGACCGUGGAGAUGAACACGUCACAGCAAUACUGCGGCUUCAUCACUGAAUCAGAGACCCUGCUGAGACAAAGAAAGAGCAACAGCGACCGAGAGCCAAGACAACCCCAUGGACUGUGUUUCCAGCACCAGGUGAAAAAUGACGUAAAGCCCAUCAGGAUUUCUUGUGGGAACUCGAACAGUGGACAUGUUAUUUUUAUUGAAUUUGAUUAAACCACAACACUCUAACAUUAGAACUAGAGAUGAAAUUCAGGUUUGCAGCUAAAUGUACACGGUUGAGCACAGCAUGGCUAAAAUGGUAGGCCUCAAAAUAUUUUCAGUAGAAGAUAAACUACUGAUGCCUUUCAGUUACUGCAAGGAUUAAAUCUGAGCAGAAGCUGCUAUUAAGUGGCUGCCCAUUACAGAAAUGGGGUUUAUUGGGAGUUGCACAGGAUGGGCUCAACACACGCUGAAACUGGGCGGCUUUAAUUUUCCUUCCUGUAAAAUUCUCACUUUGUUAUCUCACGGAAAGCAAAGGAUUUUGGAUAUCGGAAGACCCAGAGGCUAUAAUUUUCUACCAGGACCAUGUUCAGUCACUAACCAAUUCUAACUGUGUCUUGAGACCAAGUGUUUGGCAACCAGCUCUUCUUAAUUUGGUAAGUGUAGCAAUUGUUUUAUUUGGCCGUGCUGUUGUUUCUGCAGAGUUGCGAAGCUGGGAAUGAAGGAUUCUGCUUACUGUCUUUCUUCAACAGAGAGGAAAUUCCAUAGAUUUUCUUCCUCUAACUACUGUAUUUACUUCCUUUGUGCUUAAAUGGCUUGUUUACAGCAGAGCAAAUAUCUUUGCUCCUUUGAGGAGGUGACUGGAAAUUGUGGGCUCCUGUUCUCCAUUUCUGCCUGAGCCAAUAAAUUGUUUUCAAAUACCUA